GCUGCUUUCCGAAGCAGACUUUUUCGUUGACGAAAAAGAUCUCCAAACCUUUGUCGGCGCGGCCUUUUCAGCCGCGCUUUUUUUUG
rnacentral:ncRNA from 1 species